UGCAGAAACAUGAAACGCCGUUCAUCGAACAUACCAUACGGUCCAACUUUGCUUUGACCAGCUCCUCACCAACUCGAUUAUUUAACCAGGUCGUUUACCAAACUUCUCCCAUGGGUAGAGUACAUCGUUGAAAUCCCCCGCACAGAGCCACGGCAGAAUAUUGUGGGAGUAAAUAUGCCGAAGAUCGUCCCAUACCACUUGACGUUGCUGGAAAUCAGUCGGAGCAUGAAGAAAGAGAUGGGAUUAUUCCAGAAUGCUGCUAAGCCGCCCGCCACACCCACUGGAUCAACAAAAUAGGAAUGAGAAAAGGGCUCGAACUGUCAGGGGAUUGCCCAAACCCUGACAGUUCCAACAAAUGAGCUUCAUUUGUGAACUGGUGGCUGUUUAGGGCCAGCCACCAGAGCCCGAUCUGCAGUUUCCGAUGCAAGGAAAACAGGCGCAUCCAGCAAAUUAAGG